GGGGGCGCAAGUCUCGACAGUCAAUGUCCUUAAAAUACGCAAACCGAGUGUGCUAAAAUCUCGAUAAACUUUCAGCAAACAAACAAAUGUCAACUUUUUGACAAGCGUUAAGCAGGCGUUUACGCCUUCUUACGCUCCGGUUUUAGCUUAAUAAAAUAAUCUGAAACCCAUCCGGCUUGUUAACUUCCGAUAGGCAAAAUCCGGGUGUAAUUUUUUCGGGAUAGAUCGCUGGCCUGCCGGGGACAACGAUCGAACCAUUACCGGCUAGGGUUUGGAGCAUUUUUGCCCGAUCCACAGCUUCAGAUCCGAAUAAAUAAAUCGGGAUAAGUUUGUAGAAGUAUUUUGAGAAUCUUGGCUGGACGGGGGUUCAAUCCCCCCGCCUCCACCA
rnacentral:tmRNA from 1 species